rnacentral:lncRNA from 1 species
CUCUGCAAUCUGAAAGAGAAAGCACUGUGACUCUUGACGACACUCAAGAGAAUUCAAAGAGCCGAGCAGUGGUGGCACACUCCUUUAAUCCCAGCACUUGGGAGGCAGAGGCAGGCUGAUCUCUGUGAGUUCGAGACCAGCCUAGUCUACAAGAGCUAGUUCCAGGACAGCCUCCAAAGCCACAGAGAAACACUGUCUCAAACAACCCCUCAUGUUCCUGGGCUGUCAGGAUGACUCAGUGAGUAAAUGUGCCUGCUGCCAAUCCUGAUGACUUGAGUUUGGUCCCUGGAAGCCACAUGGUGGAAAGAAAGGACAUACUCCACGAAGUGGUCCUCUGACCUCUACUUAUGUGCUGUGGCUUGCUUGUGUGUACCUCCUCCAAUAAUGAUAAAAAAUUUAAAUUGCCAUUCCAGGUUUUUAUUUUCAUGUCAGGCUUAAUGAAACAUAUUUCAUAUACCAUGUAAUUUAAUUACUUAAAAUGUACCCGCAAUUAUUAUUUUUAGUAUUUUCAGUUUUGAAUACAAACAUUGUCAUAAUGAUUUAAGAACAUUUUCAUUAAUUAAUUUUCCCAUCUUUUGCCUGGAGCGUGGAUUCAGGGGCCCUAUCCAUUACACAAGCUGGAUUAUGCAGCUUUGCUGUGUGUUUUGUGUCUGGCAUCUUUCACGUGGUGCAGGGCCUUGCGGGCUCACCCAUGUUGCCGGAAGUGUCAGUACUUCAUUCCUUUGUGCUGAGCUGUGGACCUGCCUGAUGUUGCAUUGUUUGUCUGCUCCUCAGUGGUGUAUUUCAUCAUGUGAACAGCAUCACAGCUCACCAAGGAAGACUGGGACAGGGAGUGGAUGUGGAUGAAUUGCUGUAGCCUCAGAGCUGACAGACUGCCCUGGCUCAACACUACAGACAUUCCAUGCUCUUGUGACUUUUGCUUCCGGGAACUGGAGGAAGGAACCAUCUUGAACACUCAGCUCUCCUCAGCUAGCUAGCUACUACCAUCAGGAACUGGUCACCUGGAGACGGACUGGCUCAGCAUAGCUGACCAUCUGCAGGAGUGAACACUCAUCUCUAGACUCGUCUAGGCAUCCUGCCCUCCCGAGGGACAUUCGUGAAGUCCACAGAUAGAGGCUCAUUAAAUGCUGACACAGGGCUGCAGCAGGCAUCCCCUUGCUACUGCACCACCACACAGGAAAAGCCUAUUUAU